rnacentral:lncRNA from 1 species
CAGGCACUAUCGCCUGCCUGACACUGUGCUGUGCAGCCCAGUGGGGAGACCAGCAAGGAGAUGGAUUGAGGGAGUUAGCAGGCACAGUAGUGCUGUGCAUUUGUUAAAGAAUGUGGGCGUGGUUGGCUAGGUCUUGGGGCCUGGCCAGCUAGGACCCAUGGGCGUGGUCAACUAGGAUGGGGGUGUGGUCAGUUAGGUGUGUGAUCCUGGUCAGCCAGGCUCUAAGGAAUAGUCCUUUAGAUCUGCUAAGUCCAUUGACUCUGGAGUCCCCUGGAAGAGUGGCUAACCCAGCUGUGACUCCCCAGCCAGGGGAGAACUGCCUAGAACCAGGACCAGAGCAGCCUCUAUGGGGUCACACUCACCACGCAGUGAUGACGAAGCUUCCUGAGGAUGGUGCAAGGAGCUCAUAUUCUGGAAAAUUCAUCUGGGGCAGCACUGGGGACAUGAGAGACACUGUGGGCCACUAGAGCUGGCUUGGCCUUAAUUUGGUCCCCUACCGACAGAGGACCUUGUGCUUUUGAGGCAGGCCAGGUGCCACUGAGCUACAUCCCCGCCCCCCUUCCUUUCUUGACCCCUUCAAGCAGAGGGAAGAAGAGGAGCUUGUUGUCGAGAGAGGCCCAGGUGAUUGAGCUGUGACAAGUGGCAGAGACAGGAGAGGCCCAGCUGUCUGGACAGUUGCCCACAUUCCAAUCUCAGGAUGCUUUGACUGCAAAGCUAGGAACCAGUAAAUCCAACAGCACCUGGCCUGGUGGCCAUGCUGGUGCUGUUCCUGCACUUGGCCCUGCAAUGGCUCAAAGGAACGGGACCCAAAAGAGACACGGCUUGCUUAACACCCCAUCUUAGCAACAUCAUGCAGCUCUUUCUGCAGUCACUGGCCUUUCCUCCUUAGCUGCCAGAACCCCACAUUGCAGAGGAAGCCUGUGCACAGUGAAGGGGAUGUGGAACCUGGGAGCCAGUCCCCAGCACUGUCACUGGGCCAUAGCUGCUGAGAGGAAAGGGCAGCCUGGCCAGAGUAAGCACAGUGGCCAUUGGGAGCCAUGGGCCUGGCCUGCGGCUCUGCAACUCUUCAAAUUAAGGAACCAACAAAGCAUCAGGUGAGAAAGCAGAUGCCAUGCCUGUGCAGAGCUCUACAAGGCAAGCGGUUGUUGUCAUUCUCAUGCCAUGGUGCGUGCAGAUGUUGCAUGUGCAUGGUACAUGCAUGGAAGCCGUGAUUGGCAGGGGCCCAGAAAACCUGCAUCAUCUAUUCUUGUCCUUGGUCUGAGGCGCCUCUCACCUGUCUUACCAAUCUCACAUUUCUGGGGCUUCACUAUGGAAGCCUCUUCUGCUAUGCAGAAAUCCGGGUGUCUGUGGGGGCUGGUUCUCCUCAGAUGGGUGCCCUCCUUGUGCGUGACAACAGAUGAGCUAUAUUUCAAAACAAAGUGCUGUGUUAUAAUCAUCUGCCUGAAUUCCCCAGGGUAUCUUUUACCUGACUUGAUAACAAUGUUCUUCAUUAGCAGCGCUUUGUUAACUGAUAACCUGAAGCAGUAACUUGGUAUUCAUAAGCAAUUUUCUGUAUGUAAGAUAGAAUAAACCAUCUUGUAAGGGAUCUGUUAAUUGAUUUGCUUCUUUUAGCAGCAUUUUAAUUAAGGCAUCUGGUUUUGGAGGGCAGAAAUAGUUGUGAGCAGAAGGGAAAGGCUCUGGAUUCUCAGUCCAUGAAAAUGUCCUGUGCACUGAGCAGAGAAACACAGUCAUGUGUCACUCGGUGACAAGGACAUGUCCAGGAAGUGUGCAUUUGGGGUUCAUCACUAUGUGGAUGCGGCAGAUGCCCGCACAGGGACUGCGAUGGUUGUGGCAUUACUAUGAUACCAUGCAUAUGGUCCAUCACUGAUGGAAAUAGCGCUAUUCUGGGCAUGUCUGCAGGCUGAAGACCAGUGACCUCCCUCAGAUGGUAGGGACUAACGUCAUUUAGGAGGCAGUGUGGG